ensembl:lncRNA
CCGGGACGUCACGCCGCCUGUCUGUUUUCUCAAUGAUAACUUGGCAGCGGCAGGGGGAAGCGGCCGGGUUAUGUAUUUUAUUUUAUUUUAUUUCCCCUGGGCUCGGUACCGGGUUGACGCUGGGCGCCGGGCGAGCCGCGCUGGUCACCGCCUGGUCCCACCUGGAGGAGGGAAGCACACGCAAAAAGGAAAAAAAAAAAAAAGAAAGAAAGAAAAAAAANNNNNNNNNNNNNNNNNNNNNNNNNNNNNNNNNNNNNNNNNNNNNNNNNNNNNNNNNNNNNNNGAAGGGGGAUGGGAGGGGGGUGCCACCCGGAUGCGGCGGAUGGGACAGCGCACCACGCGCAGAGCAAGGCCCCGCCAUGUCCCUGCAGGGAGUGGGACGGGGGAAAAGGCACCCCGUAUCAUGAGGGAACGCAGGGGACAUGGGGAACGCAGGCCCAUACGGGCUGCCUGUGGGCACCAGGCUGUUGUGUGGAGGAGGGCAGGUGCUGGGCCGGGCUGGGUGGUGGGUGACCAGCGUGUGGUGACAAGGCCUGCAGCCACCAGGUCAACCUGUGUGACUGGGUGUUUUGGUGAGCAGGGGUAGGAGUUGGCACUGGGCUUGGCUUGCUUUCCUUGGCAUUUGUGCUCCUAAAAGGAAGACCAUAGAAUUGUUGAGAUUGGAAAAGGCCAUUAAGAUCGUCUAGACCAACCAUCAACCAAUCACCACCAUGCCCGCUAACCCGUGUCCCUCAGUUAAGUAUACAUGGGGGCAGGGACCUUUUAGUUGCGUGCACUUCUUCCUGCACAAACUUAUUUCCAGUGCUAGGCCUUGCUUUCAGGUAUCCAUGUUGGCACGGAUUGCUGUACCCUUUCAGCCAAAGAUAGGUCAUUGCACACAUACACUUUUAAUAUCCCAAACUGCCAACUCACCGCAGCACCUGCACACUGACCAAAACGCUCGGUAAGGCCCGAAGUCAAGUGGCCCCAUCCCACACUACAUUUUCUACUGUCUGUUCUGACGACAGCUUGCCGUGUACGCGUAGCUAGUGCGACAGUUCACAGAGAGGCUGAAAAGCUGAAGCAGCACAGGGCUGAAACUAAAUUAUUGUUGCAGCUUCCAUAUUAGCAUUAAUGCUUUCAUUUUCCUCAUUUAAAUACAACAAAAGAGAACACUGUCUUUGCUUAAUAUUGUUACUAAUCAGGUUUUGCUUUUCCGGUUGAAAAAGUACUUUUUAUUUUUAACACAAGCUACUUGAGGUGCUUUCUGUCUUGCCUAUAAAGACAAAUUUGCAUAGUGUUUCUGUUUCAGAAUUGUUUUGAGCGGCAUGUAGACUAAGUUUUUAUUUGUCUUAAGUAUAUUGUCUCAACAGUGCGCUGGAGAGCACAGGGUACGUUAUGAUACAUUGGUUUUGGUAGACUUAAAAAGCACUUUGUGCAGCUUGAUUGUUGUCUAUAUUUUGCCAUUUAUUUUUCAGUGAGGCUCUUCUGAUUGAUGUGGGGAGUUUCUUUAAAGAGAUGUAAGUUAUGGCAUAGCUACCCAAGAUGCUCUGCGCAGUUGUUCCAUACCUCUCCUAAGAGAGAGAUUUUAGUUGUGAUUGUUAUGCUUUUAAAAGGGAAUUAAUUAAUCAAAUUGCUGGUUUUGGAAUGCAUUGAAAGGAAUAUUGAAAUGCAUUAACUUCAUUAAAAGAAGUGAGCAGAUAGGCAACAAAACAAGUAUUAGUCAAAUAAGCAUUAACUUGCCUAUGGAGCCAAUUCAGCCCUAGUGAAAUCAACACAGUUGUGCUUGUCUACAGCUUAUUUAAUUUGGCCUGUGCAGCCACAGAGCCAACACUUCAUUUGGCUGUCAAAGGUGUGUAUAUUAAAAACGUAUGAGCCAUGCUCAUGUCUCCUUCAUGUGAUUAACCUCUGAAGUUAGUCGCCAAGUUUUCCACUUAGUUCAUCUGCACAGUCCUAUCACAUACGCAGUAUUUGGUGCACGUAUGCACUGGAGGUGCAGGGAGAUAUUCCCAUCCCAGCAUUAGCACAGGGAUGUGAGCUGUGUCUAAAGCGAGGGCAUGAUGAGAUGUGUUGCAGCAGAGGUUGCUCACAACCAGAAGGGUUCCUGUGUGUAGGUCCCAGCUAAUGGGCUGCACUUUUGCCACCAUCUUUCAUUACUGCUGUUACUCACACCAGCGAGAGUAAAGGAAAGGCUGGUAUGUCUAUAAUCACACAUUCAUUUGCUAUGUAGAUAUAUCUUAAGAGCCACUCAACCCAGGAAAAUUGUGCUGGAAUGAGGUAGUGGAUAGAUGUAAAACAGAACCAUGUGCAGAUGGCUCGUUCAUUCUGGAAUGACAGAGCUUCUUCCUGGUUUCACUUAAUCCACUUCUGAAGUGGAUUAGGAGAAUUCAAAAAAGUGAACUCUUAUGCUGGCAUGAUAUUUGACUACAUAUGGUUUUGGUUAAGAGUAAUUACUGCAGUGUAGCUAAUAAUUGUUUUGGAAUAAUUUUGUGUGUAGACAAGUCCAAAAUCGUACACCUGAAAACAACACACUGUACAUAGCCUUUCUAUAUAACGUAAAGUUAAUUUAGCCCAACAUUUGACCUACUUCUUUCCUUGUGAGGCAUAUUUAAUUCAUUACAGGUUUUUCUUUCUUAGCAGAAACUGUACAACAGCCAUGUGCUUAUGAACAAUUCAAGGACAGUGCUUCCAUGUGCACUCCACAAGACAAAUAAACAAUUUGCACAGCAUAUAGUCUGAGUAUAU